rnacentral:rRNA from 1 species
AUUGAACGCUGGCGGCAGGCCUAACACAUGCAAGUCGAGCGAGCGGCGGACGGGGGAGCAAUGUCUGGGAAAAUGCGUGAUGGAGGGGGAUAAGUACUGGAAAAGGUAGCUAAUACCGCAUACCGUCCGUUGUGCUCAGAUGGGAUUAGCUAGUAGGUGGGGUAAUGGCUCACCUAGGAGACGAUCCCUAACUGGUCUGAGAGGAGGACCAGCCACACUGGAACGGAGACACGGUCCAGACUCCUACGGGAGGCAGCAGUGGGGAAUAUUGCACAAUGGGCGCAAGCCUGAUGCAGCCAUGCCGCGUGUAUGAAGAAGGUUUUCGGGUUGUAAAGUACUUUCAGCGGGGAAGCGUUACCCGCAGAAGAAGCACCGGCUAACUCCGUGCCAGCAGCCGCGGUAAUAC